rnacentral:rRNA from 1 species
AGAACGAACGCUGGCGGCAUGCCUAAUACAUGCAAGUCGAACGAACUCUUCGGAGUUAGUGGCGCACGGGUGCGUAACGCGUGGGAAUCUGCCCCUUGGUUCGGAAUAACAGUUGGAAACGACUGCUAAUACCGGAUGAUGACGAAAGUCCAAAGAUUUAUCGCCAAGGGAUGAGCCCGCGUAGGAUUAGCUAGUUGGUGAGGUAAGCUCACCAAGGCAACGAUCCUUAGCUGGUCUGAGAGGAUGAUCAGCCACACUGGGACUGAGACACGGCCCAGACUCCGUACGGGAGCAGCAGUAGGAUAUGACAUGGCGAAAGCCUGAUCCAGCAAGUCGCCGCGUGAGUGAUAGGAAGGUCCGUUAGGGUUGUAAAGUCCUUACGUUUAACCCGAGUACUAGAAUUAA